UACGGAGGAUGCAAGCGUUAUCCGGAUUUAUUGGGUUUAAAGGGUGCGUAGGCGGGCUUUUAAGUCAGCGGUAAAAAUUCGGGGCUCAACCCCGUCCGGCCGUUGAAACUGGGGGCCUUGAGUGGGCGAGAAGAAGGCGGAAUGCGUGGUGUAGCGGUGAAAUGCAUAGAUAUCACGCAGAACCCCGAUUGCGAAGGCAGCCUUCCGGCGCCCUACUGACGCUGAGGCACGAAAGUGCGGGGAUCGAACAGG
rnacentral:rRNA from 1 species